rnacentral:rRNA from 1 species
UGCCAGACUCCUACGGGAGGCAGCAGUGGGGAAUAUUGCGCAAUGGGGGAAACCCUGACGCAGCAACGCCGCGUGAGUGAAGAAGUAUCUCGGUAUGUAAAGCUCUAUCAGCGGGGAAGAAGGAAGACGGUACCCGACUAAGAAGCCACGGCUAACUACGUGCCAGCAGCCGCGGUAAUACGUAGGUGGCAAGCGUUGUCCGGAUUUACUGGGUGUAAAGGGCGUGUAGCCGGGCUGACAAGUCAGAUGUGAAAUCCGGGGGCUCAACCCCCGAACUGCAUUUGAAACUGUUGGUCUUGAGUAUCGGAGAGGCAGGCGGAAUUCCUAGUGUAGCGGUGAAAUGCGUAGAUAUUAGGAGGAACACCAGUGGCGAAGGCGGCCUGCUGGACGACAACUGACGGUGAGGCGCGAAAGCGUGGGGAGCAAACAGGAUUAGAUACCCCAGUAC